rnacentral:rRNA from 1 species
AGAGUUUGAUCAUGGCUCAGGAUGAACGCUAGCUACAGGCUUAACACAUGCAAGUCGAGGGGCAGCAUGGUCUAGCAAUAGACUGAUGGCGACCGGCGCACGGGUGAGUAACACGUAUCCAACCUACCGGCUAUUCCGGGAUAGCCUUUCGAAAGAAAGAUUAAUACCGGAUAGUAUAGCGAGAAGGCAUCUUCUUGCUAUUAAAGAAUUUCGAUAACCGAUGGGGAUGCGUUCCAUUAGUUUGUUGGCGGGGUAACGGCCCACCAAGACAUCGAUGGAUAGGGGUUCUGAGAGGAAGGUCCCCCACAUUGGAACUGAGACACGGUCCAAACUCCUACGGGAGGCAGCAGUGAGGAAUAUUGGUCAAUGGACGAGAGUCUGAACCAGCCAAGUAGCGUGAAGGAUGACUGCCCUAUGGGUUGUAAACUUCUUUUAUAUGGGAAUAAAGUGAGCCACGUGUGGCUUUUUGUAUGUACCAUACGAAUAAGGAUCGGCUAACUCCGUGCCAGCAGCCGCGGUAAUACGGAGGAUCCGAGCGUUAUCCGGAUUUAUUGGG